CGAGCAGGUCGCGCGACGCGUCGCGCGUUUUUCUCAACUUUCCUGCGUCGAUUGAAACGAUUGUUACACAUAUUCCGAUACUCGGCGCGUUGAAUUGUCGUGCCAGAAUAAUCACGUGUUGUAACAUCAACGGGAAAUGUCUUGGAUCUGGUGGAGUUUGUUGUUACACGACAGGUGCUGAUCCAGAGGAUGCAGUUCCUGCGGAUGCAGAUGCGGUACCGGAGGAUCCGGUUCGGGCCGAGCAGGGUCGGCUCGAAGAUCUCUCCGCUGGUAGUAGAACGUGGCCGAUCCUGAUUCCGGCGUAUUCGAUAUCCAAUAGAGCAGACGCAGUCACGCGGCUCUAGGGGAUGCGAUGCCUGGGGGAUGCCGCGCCGAAGGAUUCGGUUCGGGCCUUUCUGAGUCGGCUCAAAGAGAUAAAGCAGACGACCAGCCGACUCUUAGGGGCUGCUGCGCCGGAGGAUCUGGCUCGGGC